rnacentral:lncRNA from 1 species
CGAGCUGUGACCCGCUGCCUCCCUGCCCUGCAGAGCUGGAGCUGCGCUAGCAUCAGGAUAAAGCAGGAUUUUUCUACCAGUAAGGCUGAGAAUGAUAAACAUGGUGCACGUCCGUCGUAUUCUGCAGAUGUUCCCUGUAAAGUUCCUGCGUACAUCCGCAAAGCAUGCUCACCACUUAAAACUGUCUGACUCAAGUCACUGGAGUGGAGGGAGAAAAGUCUGAGAGGAAGAAAAAGCACAGGUCAGCAGCAGCAGCCAGACUGGAAUCUCAAAGCAGAAAACCCAAACCUGUCCUAGCUCCCCAGCAGAAAGCCUCUCUGCAACCAGCCAGUGUGCAAGCAGCUUUGGCGUCCUCUUGCCAAAGCCACCACUACGCAGAAAGGACGAGGUGCCACACUGAAGAGCACAGAGUGUGACAGCCAACAGCUGUGAAUAUAAACAGAGAGCACUUCAAGAAAAUAAGCACCUGCCUCAAGGCUGCUGUGUGCCCUUCUAAUGACAGAAGGAUGUGGUGCAGCCCUGGGGCACUGCAAAAAGAGGACUCGUGGGCACAGCUAAUUGUAAAAUUAAGGAAGGAGGAGCAGGAAGAGCUCAGAGGGAGACAGUGGAACAGCUUCAUCCAUCUGCCCAGUUCCUACUUGCCACAGGGGGAAAGUGCCCUUUCUGGGUGGCUGACCAACCCCAAAUCGCCUCGGGAUUGCCUAAGAGAAGGAGCACAAGGCAGCGAAGCCUCAAGCAGCGUGGGCUGGGAGCUGACAUCAGGUGACAACAAGAACACCGUCCCUGCUGCUAAGAGUUGUGCAGUGUGCCUUCCCACGUGGUGGUAG